UACGUAGGGGGCAAGCGUUGUCCGGAAUUAUUGGGCGUAAAGAGCUCGUAGGCGGUCUGUCGCGUCGGAUGUGAAAAUCCAGGGCUCAACCCUGGACCUGCAUUCGAUACGGGCAGACUAGAGUUCGGUAGGGGAGACUGGAAUUCCUGGUGUAGCGGUGAAAUGCGCAGAUAUCAGGAGGAACACCAGUGGCGAAGGCGAGUCCCUGGACAACACCUGACACUGAGGCACGAAGGCCGGGGGAGCAAACAGG
rnacentral:rRNA from 1 species